GGUGGUUAUAGCGAUAGGGAUCACCUCUUCCCAUUCCGAACAGAGAAGUUAAGCCUAUCAGCGCAGAUGGUACUGAGUAAAUCGGGAGAGUAUGUCGCCGC
rnacentral:rRNA from 1 species